rnacentral:lncRNA from 10 species
UAACAUGUGCUACAACAUAGAUGAACUUUGAAAAUGUUAUUCUAAGUUUAAAAAGCCAAAUAGAAAAGAAGAAAUAUUAUGUGAUUUCACUUAUAUAAGGUACCUAGAAUAGGCAAAUUCAUAGAUAAAGAAAGCAGAUUAUAGAUUACCAGGGGCUGUGAUAGGGAGGAAUGGAGAUGUAUCACUUAAUAGGUGUGAAGUUUCUGUUACAGUGAUGGAAAUGUUUUGAAAUAACUGUAGAUAGUGUUGAUAAAUGUACAACAUUGCGAAUAUAAUUGAUGCCACUGAGUUAUACACUUAAAAUACUUAAAAACGGCAAAUUUUGUUAUAUAUAUUUUACCACAAUAAAAAAAAUUGCAUAAUGUUAUCCUUCCUGCAUUAGUCUUUUCUGAAACUAUUUGAUCUCUCUCAUUUGCUUCUCCACGUAAAUUUUCUAAUCAGCUUUUCUAUAUCUACAAAUAAUUCUGUUGGGAUUUGGAUAAGAAUUACAUUAGACUUACAGAUUUGGGAAGUACUGACACCUUUACUAUGAAGAUAAACACAGUAUGUUUGUCCGUUUAUUUUGUUACUCUUUGAUUUAUUUCAUUUAUAUUUUGUAGUUUUCACUAAACAGAAUCUGAGAAGGCUUUUUUAGAAUAUAUAUUUUAGCUAUGUCCUUUUUGGGUUUUUUAGUAACUAUAAAUGUCAGGCCUCUGAGCCCAAGCCAAGCCAUCGCAUCCCCUGUGACCUGCACGUAUACGCCCAGAUGGCCUGAAGUAAGUAAAGAAUCACAAAAGAAGUGAAUAUGCCCUGCCCCACCUUAACUGAUGACAUUCCACCACAAAAGAAGUGUAAAUGGCCGGUCCUUGCCUUAACUGAUGACAUUACCUUGUGAAAGUCCUUUUCCUGGCUCAUCCUGGCUCAAAAACACCCCCACUGAGCACCUUGGGACCCCUACUCCUGCCUGCCAGAGAACAAACCCCCUUUGACUGUAAUUUUCCUUUACCUACCCAAAUCCUAUAAAACGGCCCCACCCCUAUCUCCCUUCGCUGACUCUCUUUUCGGACUCAGCUCGCCUGCACCCAGGUGAAAUAAACAGCUUUAUUGCUCACACAAAGCCUGUUUGGUGGUCUCUUCAGACGGACGUGCAUGAAAUUUGGUGCCGUGACUCGGAUCGGGGGACCUCCCUUGGGAGAUCAAUCCCCUGUCCUCCUGCUCUGUGCUCCGUGAGAAAGAUCCACCUACGACCUCAGGUCCUCAGACCGACCAGCCCAAUAAACAUCUCACCAAUUUCAAAUCCGGUAAGCGGCCUCUUUUUACUCUCUUCUCCAACCUCCCUCACUAUCCCUCAACCUCUUUCUCCUUUCAAUCUUGGCACCACACUUCAAUCUCUCCCUUCUCUUAAUUUCAAUUCAUUUCAUUUUCUGGUAGAGACAAAAGAGACAUGUUUUAUCCAUGAACCCAAAACUCCAGCGCCAGUCCCGGACUGGGAAGGCAGGCUUCCCUUGGUGUUUAAUCAUUGCAGGGACACCUCUCUGAUUACACACUCACGUUUCAAGGGUGUCAGACCACGCAGGGACACCUGCCUUGGUCCUUCACCCUUAGCGGCAAGUCCUGCUUUCCUAGGGGGCAAGAAGCCCCCAAUCGCUUAUUUCCGCACCCCAACCUCUUAUCUCUGUGCCCCAAUCCCUUAUUUCUGCACCCUGACCUCUUAUCUCUGUGCCCCAAUCCCUUAUUUCCGUGCCCCCACCCCUUCUCUGCUUUUCUGGAGGGCAAGAACCCCCCACCCCUUCUCUGUGUCUCUACUCUUUUCUCUGGGCUUGCCUCCUUCACUACGGGUAACCUUCCACCCUCCAUUCGUCCUUCUACUCCCUUGGCCUGUGUUCUCAAAAACUUAAAACCUCUUAAACUCACACCUGACCUAAAACCUAAAUGCCUUAUUUUCUUCUGCAAUGCCGCUUGACCCCAAUACAAACUCGACAGUAGUUCCAAAUAGCCAGAAAAUGGCACUUUGAAUUUUUCCAUCCUGCAAGAUCUAAAUAAUUCUUGUCGUAAAAUAGGCAAAUGGUCUGAGGUGCCUGAUGUCCAGGCAUUCUUUUACACAUCGGUCCCUUCCUAGUCUCUGUGCCCAGUGCAACUCGUCCAAAAUCUUCCUUCUUUCCCUCCCGCCUGUCCCCUCAGUACCAACCCCAAGCGUCACUGAGUCUUUCUAAUCUUCCUUUUCUACAGACCCAUCUGACCUCUCCCUUCCUCCCCAGGCUGCUCCUCGCCAGGCCGAGCUAGGUCCCAAUUCUUCCUCAGCCUCCGCUCCUCCACCCUAUAAUCUUUUUAUCGCCUCCCCUCCUCACAGCUGGUCCGGCUUACAGUUUCGUUCCGUGACUAGCCUUCCCCCUCCUGCCCAGCAAUUUACUCUUAAACAGGUGGCUGGGGCUAAAAGCAUAGUCAAGGUUAAUGCUCCUUUUUCUUUAUCCCAAAUCGGAUAGCGUUUAGGCUCUUUUUCAUCAAAUAUAAAAAUCCAGCCCAGUUCAUGGCUCAUUUGGCAGCAACCCUGAGACUCUUUACAGCCCUAGACCCUAAAAACUCAAAAGGCCGUCUUAUUCUCAAUAUACAUUUUAUUACCCAAUCUGCUCCCGACAUUAAAUAAAACUCCAAAAAUUAAAUUCCGGCCCUCAAACCCCACAACAGGAUUUAAUUCACCUCGCCUUCAAGGUGUACAAUAAUAGAAAAAAGUUGCAAUUCCUUGCCUCCACUGUGAGACAAACCCCAGCCACAUCUCCAGCACACAAGAACUUCCAAACGACUGAACCGCAGCAGCCAGGCGUUCCUCCAGAACCUCCUCCCACAGGAGCUUGCUACACGUGCCGGAAAUCUGGCCACUGGGCCAAGGAAUGCCCGCAGCCUGGGAUUCCUCCUAAGCCACGUCCCAUCUGUGUGGGACCCCACUGAAAAUCUGACUGUUCAACUCACCUGGCAGCCACUCCCAGAGCCCCUGGAACUCUGGCCCAAGGCUCUCUGACUGACUCCUUCCCAGAUCUUGGCUUAGCAGCUGAAGACUGACACUGCCCGAUCGCCUCGGAAGCCCCCGAGACCAUCACGGACGCCGAGCUGCCAGUAACUCUCACAGUGGAAGCAGCUGCAGCAAGGACAGCUCUCUACCCAAUACCAGCUCUCAUGAGCCCAGAUAUUGAUCUCUAAUCCUCUCCUCCCCUGGAAGAGAUCAGGACUUCCUGAUGGAUUAAAAAGCAGAAGACACGCAGGACCAAGAGAGCCUGAUGGUGUAAGAAGUGAAACCAUGUCAUAAACAUGGCUACUCCACUGGCCCGAGAGGCCCAGCCUCGCCAUGGACUGCACACCUGCUAGGGGAAAUGCUCUGAGAUAGUCCUGCUUUUUUUUUCAGGGAGUGGGAAUAGUAGUCAUAAGAAUAUUGAAAACCUAGAAAGGCUUGAGAAAAAGCCCACAGGAAGGAGCAUUAGCAAUAACAGUAAAGAAGAGACAGAAGAAAAAUGUUUUAAAAAAUUAAAUGCACUCUUAUAAACAUACAGUGGUAAGAAUUCUUCUCUACCUAUUGUGUCCAGAAUUGGUUCCUUCCGGUGGAUUCGUGGUCUUGCUGACUUCAAGAAUGGAGCUGCGGACUUUUGCCACUAUAGACAGGCUUUUCCCAAAGACUUGAAAAGAAGGGACAUCAGAUGAGCCUCUUAAAGUCCCUAAAGAUCAGGCAAGGUGAAGAAAGAACCUCGAGAGCGCCUUGAAGACAGACAGACCGGCAGGCUGAGCUGCUAACUGGUCGCCCACACCAGAUUACCGUAAGAGUAUGUGUGUCAGUCAAGUGUCUGGCCAGGUUUGGAAGCCAGGAAAAAGUGAGAGACAGCAGCAAACAGCUCCAUCACUUGGUUAGACCCCACUCCCCGAGCAGCAGUGGCAAGGAAAGCCAGCCUGGAAUGCAGUGGCUGCAGCUGUCCCCUCGGCCUGAGGCCCUUGGACACUGGGCCUGUGCAACUAACUACUCCCACUCUGAGCCCAUGUUCCGCGGGCAGCCCCCGACAUCUGUGCAGAUGGAGGACUGGGGUCACCCUGCAGCUAUACCAGCCAGCCUGCUGAGAAGAUUCUGCAUCUCCUAAGAUGUCGCUUGCUAUUCUGACAUCAUAUCUUGGUCUCUUUUGUUUAAUUAUGACAAAGCAUUCUCUGCAAAAUGCCGCUGUUCUCAUCAUCCUGGUCCAAGCCAAGUUCUGAAUCUGAGAGCGGGACACCAGCCCGAAGCCAAAGGUGAGCUCUUCACAUGGGAAAACCAGCCUGGGUUCCUGGAUUCUUCUCAGAAGAGAACUAAGACUAUUAGAAAAUAGAAUUCUGCAAUACUUUGUUUUCACAGGUGUAGAAAAAUUAUAUUCGAUUUUUACCCUUGGCCUGUUUUAUUAUAAUGACCUCUCUUUUUCCUGCCUUUCAAUCCAGCUGAGACAAUGUAUGCAUGUUUACAUCAUGUGUGUAUAUACAUCUACUUGCACAUAGAUGUAUAUAGUUAUAUAUGUUUAAUGUAUAUAUGAAUAAAAUGUGCAUACAGCAGACUUAGGGACUUCUCUGGAGGGAGGAAUAAAGGUUGUAAAGUAGAAGAAUAUCUACCAAUCCAGUUGCAUAUGGAUUUCUUUGAAUCACUGACCAUUUCAGUCAAACUCUCCACAUUUUGCAGGGAAGUCUUUCACCUGCGCAGUCCCUAAUGCCUGUUUCAUACCUGGGAGAGUUUUUGUUAUACCAUUUGAAGACAGUUGGAUUACAGAUCCAACUCCAAUCUCCUGUCCUGUCACAGUGUCCCUGUGUGAUGCUCUUUUUUGACCCACACACUGUAUAGGUCCUAGACUUCCCAUAUGGUAUCAGUGGACAAUUAAGGAGACUUCACCACUAGCUACUUCUGUCUGCUCAAUAUGCUCUUUCUGAAUAACGGUGAAAAAAAUCUAUUCACAGUUCAGCCAAACAUGCUUUCUUUAUGUUACGCAGCAUAUGGGGCAAUUUGUCAAGGUAAUAGUAAGUCUCUUGGAAGGCUAGAAGGCUGCAAUUCAUUAUCUGAAAAACAAAACCUCAACCAUGCUUUAUGCCAGUGGAGAUGAAAUCCUCUCAAUAUCAGAAACCAACGAUUGCUAAGGAAACAGGGGAAGAAAGGGUCUCCCUCUAUUCCAAUAAGGAAGCCAUUGCCUGACCAGAUCCCCUUUUCCCUAUUUUCAUCUCAUAAUUGGAAAUGAAUAUGUCAGAGAAUAUAUGCCACCUCACCCAGAUGGAAUGUCUAGGCUAAAUUUCCAUGCAAAGACUUUUGUGCUUUUAUUUUCCAAAAUUCCUUUACAGAAUCUUGGUUCCACGAAAAUACAAGAUUUUAAAAGCCAAUAAUAGCUUUUUAAGGAAGAGAGAUAAAAAAGGUAGGAAUCUAAACCAGCAUAACUCAAAAGUCCUCGUUCCCCUUAUAAGUUUUCCAUUGCCUGAAUUUUCAAGCAGCAGAUGACUAUAAAUCCUGUAAGGAAUAAAUUGUUGCAUAUGUUGAUCUAUUUACUUAAAAGUUGGGCAAACAGUAGCUAGACAGGCAAUGUAGUUAAGUGCAUAGACUCUGGGAUUAGACUGCCUGGAGUCCAGUCUCAUUAGGCAGUCACUUGCUGUUUGACCUUGGGUAAAUCACACCUUCUGUGCUCCAGCUUCCGUAUAAAAAUUGUAAAAAGCAAUUAAAAUGGUAUCUGUCUCAACAAUUGUAGUGAGAAUCUAAUACAUUUAUACAUGUGUCCAUUUAUAAUAGGAUGGUUUUAGAGUAAAAAAGCUUUAGAAUCAUGGACAAGUAAAGAGAUGGACUAGUAGUUUGAGGCCCCAACCAAGUCUAGAAACGUAAAUUUUUAGUAGAGUUGUAGAAUUUUCUCUCGGGAUUAACUGCCAUGAAGCAACAGAUGAUAGCGCUGGUAUGAAAUCAGGAUUCGUAGAAUUGAGCACAGUACAGAAAUAAGGUGCUGAGGGAGUUAAGGAUUCUGGGAACAGUCAGGUCCAGUGUUAAACUAAUGGGAUCAGGGCAGGAAGGAAAUGUGGCUGCCCAGGGCCUUCUGAACAAAAGGACAGGGAGAAUAAGUGAGCUUAAGGUUGGAAAACUGAGGGUUUGUAUUCUAGGAGAGGCACUGGAGUUUAAUAGUUCAGGAAAUGGAAUGGUUUGAUGAGAUGCUCCAGAAUUCUUAGGGAGUAGUUGGCAACUCCAAAGUAAAGGUGAAGAUUUGUGCUUUAAAUCAAUAGACUGUAAUUCAGAAAAAGACAGAAUUCAAGGUCCCAAACAGUAUUUUUUAAGUAAACAGAUCUAAUUUGUUUGUUUGCUUCAUUUUUUGAGGUAGAAAAGUAUAGAAGAUUCAAGUAAUCUUCCUUUUGAUCUAAGAAUAGUGGUAAUAUAAUUAUGUGAUAAAUAAAAGAAGGAAAUCAAAAUACUCCAGUUUUAUAACAUAAAUAUAACUACAGCAUGCAUUUUCAAUAGAGGCAAUAUCACUCCUUAGGAGGUAAAAAUUCCGGAAGCAAAAAAAUUAUUAGAUAUGAUAUUUAUUUGUGGCUCUCCAAAGCUCAACCUUACCCAACAAAACCUUAUUUUCUCUGGCAGGGUGUGGUGGCUCACACCUGUAAUCCCAGCACUUUGGGAGGCCGAGGCAGGUGGAUCACUUGAGAUCAGGAGUUGGAGACCAGCCUGACCAACUUAGUGAAACCCCGUCUCUACUAAAAAUACAAAAAUUAGCUGGGCGUGGUUGUGGGCACCUGUAAUCCCAGCUACUCAGGAGACUAAGGCAGGAGAACCAACCUUAUUCUCUAGUAUUUAAUUUCUCCUAUUGAGUUUUCUUAGAUAUCACAAAAGCAGCAUGGACACUGAGUUCCUGGCAGAGACCCAAAACGUAUCCAAGGUCAUGUUACAAAAAUGUGGCAAAUGGCCAUGAGUAGGGGGCUUCUUCUCCAUCCCUUGCUCCAUUUCAAAGUCACAUGGGGAGAGCUGGCCUGUGCUGUUGGCUGCCCUGGUCACCUUGUAAGCAUUGCUUCUCACAUGAUCUCAGUGAUUUUAUGUGUGACUUAGGCUUUGGGAAUUAAAUGUAAUUGUUUGUAUUUUAUCAUUUAAUUAUAAAAAUGUUAUUCAACUCAUUGUU